rnacentral:rRNA from 1 species
ACGGCUCAGUAACACGUGGAUAACCUGCCCUUGGGUCCGGCAUAACCCCGGGAAACUGGGGAUAAUUCCGGAUAACGCAUAUAUGCUGGAAUGCUUUAUGCGUCAAAUGGAUUCGUCCGCCCAAGGAUGGGUCUGCGGCCUAUCAGGUAGUAGUGGGUGUAAUGUACCUACUAGCCAGCGACGGGUACGGGUUGUGAGAGCAAGAGCCCGGAGAUGGAUUCUGAGACAUGAAUCCAGGCCCUACGGGGCGCAGCAGGCGCGAAAACUUUACAAUGCGGGAAACCGUGAUAAGGGGACACCGAGUGUCAGCAUCAUAUGCUGGCUGUCCAGGUGUGUAAAAUACACCUGUUAGCAAGGGCCGGGCAAGACCGGUGCCAGCCGCCGCGGUAACACCGGCGGCCCGAGUGGUGAUCGUGAUUAUUGGGUCUAAAGGGUCCGUAGCCGGUUUGGUCAGUCCUCCGGGAAAUCUGAUAGCUCAACUAUUAGGCUAUCGGGGGAUACUGCCAGACUUGGAACCGGGAGAGGUAAGAGGUACUACAGGGGUAGGAGUGAAAUCUUGUAAUCCCUGUGGGACCACCUGUGGCGAAGGCGUCUUACCAGAACGGGUUCGACGGUGAGGGACGAAAGCUGGGGGCACGAACCGGAUUAGAUACCCGGGUAGUCCCAGCCGUAAACGAUGCUCGCUAGGUGUCAGGCAUGGCGCGACCGUGUCUGGUGCCGCAGGGAAGCCGUGAAGCGAGCCACCUGGGAAGUACGGCCGCAAGGCUGAAACUUAAAGGAAUUGGCGGGGGAGCAC